CCUUCAUGUCUGUCAGUUGAUGGUGAUAUACAGGCUGAGAUGGACAUGGAAGAGAGAGAGAGGAUCUCUACCUCUUACUGUAACUCACAGUCACUCUCAGUGUGUUCUGUAUAACCAUGUUACUCUGUCUGAUCAUCUGGCUGGUUCUUGAUGUAUUCUGCUUCGAGUGCACAGCAGACCAAGUUCAACAGCAACCAGGAGGUGUGAUUGCUACAGAAGGAGGACUGGUAACACUGAGUUGUCAAUAUAACACCAGUGCUAAUAAUGCAUAUCUAUAUUGGUUCAAACAAGAAGAAAAUGACUUCCCUAAACAUAUGCUGAGCCGUUAUUCAUUUGGAUCUGGAGACAACGCUGCAGGGUUCAAGGAGAGAUUUGAUGCCCGUCUCGAUGCGGACUCAAAAUCAGUCCCCUUGACGAUCCAGAGGGUGCAGCUGUCUGACUCUGCUGUGUACUACUGUGCCCUACAGCCCACAGUGAGAGGAAACCUGUGAAGACUCUACAAAAACCUGGAGAAAAAAACUGACAUCCCCUACACAUCCUGUCAUUUUUUAUUUCAUCAUUACUUUGUGUAAACAAAACACACACACUGAAAAUGAACAAUGAAAGCUUUUCAAUGAACAACAAAAAACAAAUGUUAAAAAUGUUGAAUGGAAGAGUGACAAAACUCAAUCUAUCUGAAUGUGUUGCUUAUUUAUACUUUAGAUUGUAGAUGUAAAUAGGAAAGCAAAAAACUGUGAAUGAAUGAAUGCCUCAUUGAAUACAUUUAUAUCUUGAAGAUCUUGGAUGAAGCAACUCUCUUACCCUAAAAUCAAGAAAAUAAAUGGAAAUAAAUAAGA